rnacentral:lncRNA from 1 species
GAUGUGGAGAUCUGAACGAAUGCGACGCUGUACAUCCCUCAGAUCAGUGAGCUGCUGAACCGGGUUCCCUGACAGAUGCUGCUGCUUCUGAAAACCAACGACCUGCUGAGAGGCGUCGAGACUAUCCUGCAGACUAGAGCCAGCUCCAGCUCCUUCAUCAGGAUGUCCCGCUGCUGUACUCAUGCCAUCGCCAGAAACCAAGUCUCGGACCAGGUUACUGUAGAUCUCUCUGUUAGAGCGUUGGUCUCUCUGUAUGAACUUAUGGUGUGACUCCACAGCUUCACACUGGCCAGAUGGGUCUGUUACUUCCUCAACUUCCUGUCCUAUUCAAACUGAAAGCCUUGAACCAGGGCAUUACACCCUCUUCACUGAACUCAGGACACUGCCAAGUGCAAUGUUAGCUUUUUUUAAGGUUGAGGGGCUACAGUGGCAUGCAUCACAGAAAACCCCUCACUUCCCCCAGCCUGAAGGCAACAGCCAGCAGUCAGGAAGUCCAACCCUGCCAUACUAAUGCCCUGAGGCUAGAGAGAAGAUUUUAGCUGCCAAGCAUCGGAUGAUGGACGCAGUUAUCUGCUCAACAAGUCUCUUCCACACUCUCUGCUCAGCUGCACAGCUGAAACCAAAUUGCUGAAUCCCAGCUUCACCAUCCACCAUAAUGUGUCAUUUACUGUGUCCACAGUUAAUCCUGUCAGGCACGAAUUGCAGCUAUAGUGUGUUUCCAGGAGCUGUGCAAACUUGUAGUUAAUAAUUUCUGUGGAUGGGAUGCACUCGUAAGUGCACUAUUAAAUUUUUCUGUCCCCUUGAUAUUAGCUCUUUACAAUUUCUGUUGUAAACUAUUUCUCACGUGUUGUUGUUGUUUGUCAUGUCAGGAAAAUUUCCUUGGUUUGCAAUAGCUGAGCUUAUAGCCCAGAAAGAUGGAGAUAGCGCUUAAAAAAAAAAGAAGGAAAGAUUAAUUGAUUGAUCUGUGUUGGUCUUGAAUGAACCAAUAGUGUAUUUUUAUUAUAUUAGAAUGAUUUCUGAAGGAAGACUGGAGUAAUGGCUGUUAAAAAAAUAAGCUUUAUCAUUUUAUUUCAUUUAUUUACUUUUUUAUUAUUAUUUAAUUAUUUUAUUUAUUUUUACCAUUUUUAAUGAGACAAUACAAUUCUUUAAUAUGCCUUUGUGCUUUUAUUAAAAUAGUAUUUUCUCCUUUCAGAGCUCUAAAUGAGACAAACUGUCUUUUCUAGC